rnacentral:lncRNA from 1 species
UGUUAAACGAUUAAAUAAAAACUAAACUCAUGAGAAGAAAUAAACCGAGGAAAAUGGGAAAUCCCUAACAAACAAAAAGACUAGCAAAUGAGGAGCUAUAGAACCAAUCAGGCGUUGAUAGGUGUACAGAUCGCGUCAGAGCACAACAACCAAAUGAAGGAUGAUCCGGAUGAAGCCAUGUGGUGCUGACCAAGCACAUCGAACGGUGCUGAUGGAGAAAUACCAUAAGGAAUGGCUGAGAUGACUUGAUUUCCUCCAACGGCUACAAUGUUAGGAGAGAUGGGUUGCGAGGGAGACAGGAGGGAGAGGAGAGUGAGAGCAGAGAGUACAAUCAAAGGGAAUGCAGACAAGGGAAUUAAAGGAAGAUUUAAGAGGAAAGCCCUCAACUGAAGCCAACAAAGAGGGACAAAUCUGAGAGAACAACUGCUACAACGAACACAAAUGGAAGCUAGAGGUAAGACGAAUUUGAAUUUCAAACACCAAAAUUGAGAUUCAUAUUCUAAAUUCCUUCUUAUAGAGAAUGUAUGCAUGAUUUGGGUUAGAAAAUAAUUUGGUAGCUUAAUCGGGUGGUGGAAAAUUAGAUCAUGCAUCAUCAGGGGUUGCACCCAAAAUGUGUAUGUAUAGAUAUAUAUAAUUGUGUAAUGAUGUAGCAAGAGAGAAAUGGGAGCAGGGAGAAAGAAGUUCUUGGUAGACAGCAGAUGGGUAAAUGGAGGUAAAUUGAAAUAUAAGUACCAUCCUACAUUGAGUGAGAAGAUUAGAUAUAUAUAGAAGUGAAAGAAGUGGAAGAAGAAGAUUCAUGAGAAAUGAGGGAAACAACAAAGAGGGCAAUGAGGUAAGGAAAAAAAUGAGUGGGUCAUCUUUGGAGAGGAUUGGGUAUUAGGAUAAUAGACCUUCUAAAAAAAACCUGAUACCGUACUGAAGUAUUGGUAAACCUUAAGAAAUAAUGGGACUGAACAAUGGUUAAAUGGAGCAUAAAAAUGGAAAUGCCUCAACUGUGGUUCUGGAAAUUUUAUACAAUGCUUGUGUGAACUGUGUGCUGUGCAAGUAGUUGUGAGUAUGUGUAUGGCCUAAUAUGGGUCAAAUAUUUCAUUGUUCCUUGCCAUACCACAUGCUGAUUUUCUUACUGCUUUAAUGAAUUGCCUUGAUAUAAAUUGUUAAAAAUUAUUGAAUAAAAAAAUGGCUAAUGGUUAGUCGAAAGGUGUAUCGAAAGGUGUAUGACACUGGGUUGUGUGAGUGGCCAAAUAGUGGUCGAACAUUGUAUCAUCCUCUAGUCAUAACAUCUGCUGUUUCUUCUCCCUAUUUUUAUGGUAUUGCUCAUUGAAAAUAAAUGUUGGCCAAUGGUUGGUCGAAAGGUGUGUGACACCAGAUUUAUAAUCUGUUGUUGUUUAAAUUUUGACUAGGACAAAUCGUCUGCCAAGGAGAAUGUUAUGAUGGGGUGUGUGUGUGGUCGAAUAACAAAGUCUAAAAAAAUAAAAUUGUGCUUGACACUAAACAUAAAAUGGUAUACACAUGAGAUGGAGGCAACAGAGGUGGAAGAGCCAAGAAAUUGCAGGUAUGCGAAGAAUAAAAUAGUGUGAGUUGCUCCAUGAUAAAUAUGACUCUAUUUAUUGCUGGUGUCUGCAGGUUGAAGGUAAACUAGGUAGAAGGGAGUGGAUAAUUGUGGGUCAUAAAAGAAAGGAAGGAACAAUAUUUAAGCAAACCAUAAACUGCAGAGUGGAAAAAGAAAUAUGUUGUUUAAGCUGAAUUCAGAGAGAAAGGUGGGACUGGGAAGAAUAGGGAACAUGGGGAUAUCUUGUGGGGGGGGGGGGUUCUAGCAAAAGAAAAAUAAAAAAAAAAAAAAGAUUCCAGGAUAGUUAUAUGCUGAACGUGUGCUAUAGGAACAAGAAAUGAAGAGAAAAAUAGGCUAUUUGAAGAGGAAAGUGAGGACAGGGUAGAAAUGAGCAAAAAGAAGAAUAAGACAAGAAGAGGGUAGAGGGCUAUUAUCCAUAUAGAUUUUGAGGAAGGUUGGUAAAACCCAGAACACU